rnacentral:tRNA from 1 species
GUCCAGGGUAGCCUAGUGGUAAUGGCAUCUGCCCGGUAAGCGGAAGGUCGUGGGUUCGAUUCCCAUCCCUUGACA